GAUGAACGCUGGCGGCGUGCCUAAUACAUGCAAGUCGAGCGAACAGACGAGGAGCUUGCUCCUCUGACGUUAGCGGCGGACGGGUGAGUAACACGUGGAUAACCUACCUAUAAGACUGGGAUAACUUCGGGAAACCGGAGCUAAUACCGGAUAAUAUAUUGAACCGCAUGGUUCAAUAGUGAAAGACGGUUUUGCUGUCACUUAUAGAUGGAUCCGCGCCGCAUUAGCUAGUUGGUAAGGUAACGGCUUACCAAGGCAACGAUGCGUAGCCGACCUGAGAGGGUGAUCGGCCACACUGGAACUGAGACACGGUCCAGACUCCUACGGGAGGCAGCAGUAGGGAAUCUUCCGCAAUGGGCGAAAGCCUGACCGAGCAACGCCGCGUGAGUGAUGAAGGUCUUCGGAUCGUAAAGCUCUGUUAUUGGGGAAGAACAAGUGUGUAAGUAACUAUGCACUUCUUGACGGUACCUAAUGAGAAAGCCCCGGCUAACUACGUG
rnacentral:rRNA from 1 species